rnacentral:tRNA from 1 species
GUUUUAAUAGUUUAAAUAAAACAUUGGUCUUGUAAAUCAAAAUUGAAACUAAUUUUCUUAAAACU